rnacentral:rRNA from 1 species
AACGAACGCUGGCGGCAGGCCUAACACAUGCAAGUCGAACGCUCCAGCAAUGGAGAGUGGCAGACGGGUGAGUAACGCGCGGGAACCUUCCCUAUGGUUCGGAAUAGCCCAGGGAAACUUGGGGUAAUACCGGAUAAGCCCUUCGGGGGAAAGAUUUAUCGCCAUUGGAUGGGCCCGCGUCGGAUUAGCUAGUUGGUGGGGUAACGGCUCACCAAGGCGACGAUCCGUAGCUGGUCUGAGAGGAUGAUCAGCCACACUGGGACUGAGACACGGCCCAGACUCCUACGGGAGGCAGCAGUGGGGAAUAUUGGACAAUGGGCGCAAGCCUGAUCCAGCCAUGCCGCGGGAGUGACGAAGGCCUUAGGGUUGUAAAGCUCUUUUGGCGGGGAAGAUAAUGACGGUACCCGCAGAAUAAGCUCCGGCUAACUUCGUGCCAGCCGCCGCCGUAACAC